CAAUAAGUGGCGCCCCGCCGCUCUUUCGGCCUUAUCGCCAUCUUUUCUGGUGGGUGGCUUUUCCAGCCGUUUUUGGUUUUCCCGUACAAUCCAUUAACAUCUCUUCUCCGCACUUAACCAUCAUUACAGCAAACUAACUGUAGCAUUUACCCCUUUACUCGUAGAAACUUCCGCGCCAUGAGAGCCAAGUGGAGGAAGAAGCGAAUGCGCAGGCUUAAGCGAAAAAGAAGAAAGAUGAGGCAGCGGUCCAAGUAAACCGAUAGUCUGUGCACCAUGGAAGCCACAGGAGCAGAAAUAAGGAAAACCAGAGGCCAGUGGUAAUGGUACACAUUAGUGGACUGAAUGCCUGUCUCAGUGGAUCUGAAACAUUGACCAUCAUCCGAGGCAGCGACCACCUUGGCAAGACUCACGUUGUCCAUACUAAAACAGUCCCUUUUGGUCCUUUGCCCUGGACCUGUGACAUCCUGGACUAGUUGUUUUCUGUUGUGGCCGAAUGUAACAUGUGUACAAUAAAUCUUUCCUGCUGUCUUAGCUGAAGAAAAAAA